rnacentral:tRNA from 1 species
GGAAGGGUGGCAGAGCGGUCUAAUGCACCGGUCUUGAAAACCGGCAGGGCGCAAGCCCUCGUGGGUUCGAAUCCCACCCCUUCCG